AUGGAGGAGGAGAGGGGUGGAAGUAAGGGUGUGGCCAAGGCGGCUAGGCUGGUCAUUGCACCCUUGCCCCCAUUCCCAGCCCACAGACAUUGGAGGUGGAGAAGCACAGAGCUUGAAAGAGAAAUGCCAGAGUUCCUGCUUGAAGCCAGAUGUCUUCUGGGCAGCUCUGGGAAGGGUGUGGCCCUUGUUCAGACGACUUCAGAUGGAUCCGGGCGAAUGCCAGAAGAAGCUGCAGAUCGGUUCACCAAAGUCAGGACUGAGUCUGGAGGAGAAACAGGCAAAAGUAAGGGCCAUGUCUGAGGUCUCUAGCGUGGGAUAGAGAAGGGCAGGCUUGGCCCCUGGGGCUGGCCAGCUGUCACCCUCUCUGGUUGCCCUGUCUUUGACUGGCUUCAGGGUGCCUUUCUUGGUCUUGGUCUUUGCCUCUCUCAGUUUCUCUCUCUGCUCCAUUUGUCGGCCUUCCUUUCAUUGCUUCUUCAGCGCUUUGACUGUUCUGUAUUAUGUGGCCACAAAGAAACACAACCAGAUCCAGGAGCAGAUAAAAAUACGAAUGCAUUUCGUAAAUGGGAGGUCAUUGGUGAUAAAGCCCAUCCAUCUUGCUGGUCUUUGUAUAGUUAUGUGAUAGCACGUUUUCAUGUUUGUGUAAAAAUCUAAGUAUGGCCUCAAAAGUUUGUUUUCUUGCAGUCUUUCAGCAGCUGUCUCUCUGGGUGUCUCUGUCUGUUUCUUUCAAGGACCCUUCCCCUUCUUCAUUAUGCCACUCAAGAACAAUUGGGCCCUCGGACUCCUCUGCUGCAGUUUUGAUACCCUCCCCCCCACAAUAUUGCCUUCUUUGAAGUUUGCCUCAGGUGGGCAAUGGCUUUACUGACACAGAGUUAGCGAGAUGGCCACAUUGCUAGCAGUGCCUGGGGGGUUGUGUUGGCAAUGUGGUGGAGAUGCAAGUAUCUCUAGGGAUGUAAGGAGCCACACAGAGACACUACUUUAUUCCACUCAGGGGAUGGACUAGAGGGAAGGACAUUGGUGAGGCCGUGGGCCAGUGGAAUCCCACCUGGCCAGGAGGGGAAGAGGUCCCCAGGUCAGUUGGGCAAGUCCUGGGAACAAUAUGAAGGAAAAGCAAUAAACCCUGAGAGGUCCUGCUUCCCA
rnacentral:lncRNA from 12 species